CCUCUGCGAUCAGAAAACUGAUCUGAAAAGCUACCUGUGACAAGUUGUUGAAUCACUUGUAGUCAUGUUCCUUGUCUCAUCUUUCCUGUGUGACUUCAAGCACCAAACCAGAAACGAAUCUCUCUCAGCUCUUUUUUUUUUUUCGAAAAUCUCUCGACGGUGAUGACGUCUCGCCGACGAAUCCUUCCGUCUCCGGCGAGUCCCGUUUCUUCACCCUCUCUCACCUUGAUUCUUCACAACGACAACCUUUGCAUCUCCAAUGAAGAUGACCUCUGACCAGAACCUGUCUCAUCCGGUGAACUGUGAAUUGUUGUUUCUCCUACCUUCACAUCGAUCCUUGUCUUUAAUCCCCUCCAUGGAUAGCGAUUCAAUCUUCUCAAAUCUCAAGCUCAUUCCUUUACCAAAUUAGACCAUUCCAAUCGCAACACCAACAUCUGCAUUGUGCUAGACCAUUCAUCUCCAAAGAAGCUCGCAAGUUCUUCUUGGUGACUAGCAAUCUAUUUUUCCAUGUUGGUGUUGAUAAACUCAAUCCAUGUUACCGGCCGUACUGCAGCUUUCCGUUCUUCUUGCGUUUCCAGUGACCCUUUGGAGAC